CCUCUGGUGAGGUGCCCUCAGCGGGGAAACCACAGGCGGCUUCCAUGCUGCGCUGGUUCUGACUCCAGCCAUAAAGUGUGUGUGCUCCAAAGAGGCUCUUAUUUUAACUCCUCUGGCCAAGCACUCCAUUACCUUCACUGGUGCAGUUCUGCAGGAGCGACAGCAGCUGAUCCCUGUUGUACUGAAUUAGGAACUUUUGACACGUGCGUAUUGUAGCUGGAGCAGGAGAAAAAAGAGAUCAGUGAAUGCGCAGGCCAAGGAGUAUUUGCAUUCUAAAGCGGCCGGCCUGUGCUAAUCGAGGUAAACCAAUUAAAAUGAAUCCAUGAAACAAAAUGCUGGAGCCAAGCCCAGUCCUGAAGACUGGCCCUAGUUUAUUGACACAGAUGAGGGUCCGUAAGUCCACAGCACAUGCAAGGAGCACUCAAAACCCCACUCUGCAAUGAAUUCUCCAAUUCCACUGGGAUGUUCAGGAGUCACAAGAUUUUAAGCAAAGAUAAGAGCACAUGGAAUGGGACCCAGGCUGAACAUCAUCAGGCUUGGAAGUAUAAUCAAUGAAAUGGUCUACCUUUCAGCUUCUGUACUCAUAUUUUCAUACCUAUGAGGACUAGAAACGUGUAGAAGCUGUGAUUCUAAAGAUAUGUUCACACACUCAACCCUACAUAACCUUGCCUGCAAGCCAGGGGCUUUCCCCUCUCUGGCAAGCUCUUGCUCCCAAGCAACUUCUUAAUGCAUCAUCAAAAAUGCGAGGACAGAGUCCACAUGGAUUUUUUGAAGCCCCAGCUCCAACUUCAGAAAUUUGCUCUGAAGUUCAGUGCAAAUUUGCUCAGUGCUCUCCCUGCACCCUCCCAGCUGGCAUGGAAAGAGCAGUGCCAGCUGCAGCUCUGAGGUCUCAGCAGCAACCCUGGAGAUGUGUCUCAGGAACUGGGAGGGGAGGAGGCCGGCUCUGCCAGCACAUGCCGCAUGAUGGGGGCACCUCGCCUUCCUUCUAGCCUGCUCUGGGGCCAAACUCUGGGCUGACUGAAACUGUCCGUCUAACUGUAGUGUGUGGCAGGAACUGCGCAAAGGCAAAGAGCAUCCUAGCACCCACGGGAUGCCUAAGUUUCGCUGACCCCAGAGGGUUGCAGGCAAUGCGCACCCAGAAGGACACAAGCCUCGUUUUUCAAGCAGCCGCAUCUCUUAAGUAUACCAUAACUGUUGAGACGAAGGAAUAGCUCAGAAGGUAGAAGGGAAAAAAGGGAGGAAAUGCUGCCCCCUCCUUUUCGACUGGCGUAAUGGCAGAGCUCUAAUUUGAAACUUGUUCUAUUUAAACAGGGCUCAGGACAAAGGCUUGGAGAAGAUGGGAAAGAAAGUAACAGCCAGGAACUGCCGGAACUCAAGGUGGCUUGUGCAAUUCUCCUCCUUCCAGUGACCGGCCCAGAGCCACCCAGCCGGCCCCAUGGCAGAGCGAGACCAGAGCCUGGAUGGCACAUGACCACCACACGACCCUGGCUCUCUCCGAGUUUCCAAGGCAGUCGUGCAUAUUGCUCUUCCUGAGCAUUAGGGUGCUUCUGUGUUAUUCCCCUGCCCCCACUCAGCUCUCUCUCGCGGGCCCGGGCCUGGGGAGCCUGCAGCGCUGGCGAGAAGGUGAUGUAGCAUCUCUGGCUCUUGUGACACCUGGACUCCUGGAAACGGCACACCUCCGCGGGGGCACCCAUGCCAGUACUGGUAACAUGUUCAGUGCGGAGCUGCUCUUGAACGGGGCCACACAUUUCGUAUCUAGACUGCUCUCUGGGCUUGGCCAGAUGCAACGCAGCUCUUUUGCCCUUUGCUAUCGGAACAGGCCGCCUGCUCUUUCCAGGACAAAUUCCAGGUAUGGGUUGCUGCCUUUAAAAUCCACGAGGGACCCGUGAAUGCCACAAGGACUGCCUCCUUCUAUGUAAAUCGCCAUAUUAUGUAGAAAAUCAAACACGAUUUAUAGAAAACAUUAUAUUGCAGCCUGAUAAGCUACUAUGCAGAAACAGAACAGCAAACUGAGGAGUUUCUUUUAAGUCAUUUUCUGGAGAGUGGAAAUUUAGUAGUAGUAGAAAGAAAUAGGAAAGAAAUGAAGGUGUAAAUACCAUGCAACCAUGGUCCCAGGGGAGGGGUGCACUAGGGGUGGGUGUGUAAUAUUUUAUGUUGUUCUUUCUUUUUAUUCUUUAUGUAUUUUUAUAUUUGUAUCUUUUUUAGUAGUAUAAAUAUUUUUAAAAGCAAA